CUCGAACCGGAAGCAGCAUUGUUAUUGUCGCUUUUUAACCCUUUUUAAUGCGAAGUUGUUUCGUUAACCACUGAAAAUGAUAAUACCUGUGCGUUGUUUUACCUGUGGUAAAGUAAUUGGAAACAAGUGGGAAGCUUAUUUAGGACUGCUGCAAGUGGAAUAUACAGAAGGUGAUGCAUUAGAUGCUUUAGGACUAAAGAGAUACUGCUGCAGAAGGAUGUUGUUGGCUCAUGUUGAUCUGAUUGAAAAACUAUUGAACUAUGCUCCAUUGGAAAAGUGAACAAAAUUUGGACCGGGAACCAGUGCAUAUUUGUCACACUGAAUCAUUGUUAAAAGCAAACUGAGGACCA